GCUACUACCGAUUGAAUGAUUCGGUGAAAAUCUCGGACUUUGGCAUGGAACUUUAUUGUGACUUGCCGAGGGAAGUUAUUUAAACCUCAUCAUUUAGGGGAAGGUGAAGUCGUAACAAGGUUUCCGU
rnacentral:rRNA from 1 species